UACGUAGGGGGCGAGCGUUGUCCGGAUUUAUCGGGCGUAAAGAGCUCGUAGGCGGUUCGAUAAGUCGGACGUGAAAUCUCCACGCUCAACGUGGAGGGGCCGUUCGAUACUGUCGUGACUCGAGUCCGGUAGGGGAGUGUGGAAUUCCCGGUGUAGCGGUGAAAUGCGCAGAGAUCGGGAGGAACACCCGUAGCGAAGGCGGCACUCUGGGCCGGUACUGACGCUGAGGAGCGAAAGCGUGGGGAGCAAACAGG
rnacentral:rRNA from 1 species